UGUGGUAUAAUAUUUAUUGUAGAAAAGUGAAGACGGUGGCUCCUGAUACCGAAAGAGAGGUGAUGCCUAUGGGUAAAUCAUCAAAAUCUGACGGAAAGGAGGAGCGUGUUUGAGCUCAUUUGAAGUCGUUCAGACCAUCUUUGGUUUUGGUACUUUUACCAUUGCUUUGAUUGG
rnacentral:sRNA from 1 species